AACGUAGGGGACAAGCGUUAUCCGGAUUUACUGGGCGUAAAGCGCCCGUAGGCGGCUUGAGAAGUUGGACGUGAAAGCUCCUGGCUUAACUGGGAGAGGCCGUUCAAAACUUUCAGGCUAGAGUUAGGAAGAGGAGCGCGGAAUUCCCGGUGUAGUGGUGGAAUGCGUAGAUAUCGGGAGGAACACCAGUGGCGAAAGCGGCGCUCUGGUCCAUAACUGACGCUGAGGGGCGAAAGCGUGGGGAGCGAACGGGG
rnacentral:rRNA from 1 species